rnacentral:rRNA from 1 species
GACGAACGCUGGCGGCGUGCCUAAUACAUGCAAGUAGAACGCUGAAGGAGGAGCUUGCUUCUCUGGAUGAGUUGCGAACGGGUGAGUAACGCGUAGGUAACCUGCCUGGUAGCGGGGGAUAACUAUUGGAAACGAUAGCUAAUACCGCAUAAGAGUAGAUGUUGCAUGACAUUUGCUUAAAAGGUGCAAUUGCAUCACUACCAGAUGGACCUGCGUUGUAUUAGCUAGUUGGUGGGGUAACGGCUUACCAAGGCGACGAUACAUAGCCGACCUGAGAGGGUGAUCGGCCACACUGGGACUGAGACACGGCCCAGACUCCUACGGGAGGCAGCAGUAGGGAAUCUUCGGCAAUGGACGGAAGUCUGACCGAGCAACGCCGCGUGAGUGCAGAAGGUUUUCGGAUCGUAAAGCUCUGUUGUAAGAGAAGAACGAGUGUGAGAGUGGAAAGUUCACACUGUGACGGUAUCUUACCAGAAAGGGACGGCUAACUACGUG